UACGAAGGACCCGAGCGUUAUCCGGAUUCAUUGGGUUUAAAGGGUGCGUAGGUGGAUUGAUAAGUCAGUGGUGAAAUCUCACGGCUCAACCGUGAAAUUGCCAUUGAUACUGCCAAUCUUGAGUACAUAUGAUGUGGGCGGAAUGUGCCAUGUAGUGGUGAAAUACUUAGAUAAUGGCACAGAACACCGAUUGCGAAGGCAGCUCACAAAACUGUAACUGACACUGAGGCACGAAAGCGUGGGGAUCAAACAGG
rnacentral:rRNA from 1 species